UUAUCCCAACAUGAAAAAAGGUUUCAAGAAGAUAAAGUGAAGAUGGAAGAAGUGCAAAAAUGGAGAAAAGAUCUCGAAAGUGUGGCCGGUAUCAUUGGUUCGGAUAUCCGAAAUAAGAAUCAAUGCACAGAGAUUGAAAAUAUUGUACGAGAGGCAUGUGGUAUACUGCGUAUCAAAUUUUCAAGUCAUCCAAAUGAUGAACUAUUUCGGUUCUCUCAAAUGUUCAGUCAGCUCUUCUUCAUCUGACGCCAUAAAGAAAUAUGAUGUGUUUGUGAGCUUCCGCGGUGAAGACACAGGCAACAACUUUACUGCUUUUCUUUUACAAGCUCUCCGUAGAAAAGGCAUUAAUGCCUUCAAAGAUGAUGAAAAUCUCAAGAAAGGUGAAUUCAUAGAACCCGAGCUGCGGGAAGCUAUUGAAGGGUCUCGAAUUUUCAUUGUGGUCUUCUCAAAGAACUAUGCUUCCUCUAAUUGGUGUUUGGGUGAACUUGCACACAUCUGCUACUGUAUUGAAACAUCACGAAGACCAGUUCUGCCUAUUUUUUAUGAUGUUGAUCCAUUGGAGGUGCGUAAACAGAGUGGAUGUUAUGAGAAAGCAUUUGUGGAACAUGAAGAAAGAUUCGUAGAAGAUAGCAAGAAGAUGAAAGAAGUUCAUAGAUGGAGAGAAGCUCUGAAACAAGUGGCUAAUUUCAAAAGUGGUUGGGAUAUCAGAAAUAAGGCACUAUACGCAGAGAUUGAACAAAUUGUCGAAACAAUAAAUUAUGAAUUGGAUUCCAAAAGUUGCCCAAAUGAUGAUAUAGAUGGAGUCUCCCAAAUUUUUAGCUCUUUUUCAUCUCCCACGAGACCGACAUAUGACGUGUUUGUGAGCUUCUGCGGUGUAGACACACCCAACAACUUCACUGCUUUUCUCUUUGAUGCUCUCUCUCAAAAUGGCAUUCAUGCCUUCAAAGAUGAUACACAUCUUCAGAAAGGCGAAUCCAUAGCACCCAAGCUGCUACAGGCCAUUCAUGGGUCUCGCCUUUUCGUUGUGGUCUUCUCUAAGAACUCUGCUUCCUCAACUUGGCGCUUGCGUGAACUUGCACACAUCUGCAACUGCACUGAUGAAGCAUCCCCAAGUCGUGUUAUUCCAAUUUUCUAUGAUGUUGAUCCAUCGGAGGUGCGGAAACAGAGUGGUUAUUAUGGGAUAGCCUUCGCAAAACACGAAGAAUGAUUCAGAGAAGAUAAAGAGAAGAUGGAGGAAGUGCAGAGAUGGAGAGAAGCUCUGACACAAGUGGCCAAUAACUCUGGCUGGGAUAUCAGAAAUAAGUCACAACAUGCAAUGAUUAAAGAAAUUGUUCAAAAAAUAAAAUAUAUAUUGGGUCCCAAAUUUCAAAAUCUUCCAAAUGGUAAUAUGGUUGGGAUGGAAUUCUUGUGUUGAAGAAUUAGAAAAGUGUUUAGCAUUGGAGUCGGUUAGUGAUGUUCGAGUUGUCGGAAUUAGUGGAAUGAAGGGAAUAGGAAAGACGACUCUUGCCCGUGCUUUAUACGAAAAAAUAGCUGAUCGAUAUGAUUUUCAUUGUUUUGUUGAUGAUCUAAACAAAAUUUAUCAACUUUCUGGUUCACUAGGUCUACAAAAAGAAUUACUUUCUCAAUUUUUAAAUGAUGAAAAUCUAGAGAUUUGCAAUGCUUCUGUGGGAACAUAUUUGAUAUGGACUAUGCUAUGCAAUAAAUGAGGACUUAUAGUUCUUGAUAAUGUUAAUCAGGAUGAACAACUAUGUAUGUUUACAGGGGGUAUAGAGACUCUAUUAUGUGAAUGUCUUGGUGAAGGGAGCAAAAUCAUUAUAAUUUCUAGGAAUGAACACAUAUUAAUGACACAUGGAGUACAUCAUGUUUACCAAGUCCAGCCGUUGAAUCAAGACAAUGUUGUUCAGUUAUUUUGCAAAAAUGCUUUCAGAUGUGACUAUAUUAUGAGUGGUUAUGAAAUGUUGACACAUGAUGUACUAUCACAUGCUCAAGGUCAUCCCUUGACAAUUGAAGUAAUGGGCAAAUCUUUGGUUGGUCGAAAUGUUUCUCAGUGGAAAAGUGCAUUGGUUAGGUUAAGUGAAAUUAAAAGUAAGGAUAUUAUGGACGUGUUGCGAACAAGUUAUGAUGAUCUGGAAGAAAAAGAUAAUGAAAUAUUUUUAGAUAUUGCUUGCUUCUUCGGUCAAGAUUCUGAGGAUUAUGUGAAGGAAAUCCUAGAUUUUCGUGGAUUUUAUCCUGAAAUUGGCCUCCAAAUUCUUGUUGAAAAAUCACUCAUAACAAUUAGUCACGGGGUAAUUCAUAUGCAUAGCUUGCUGAGAGAUUUAGGCAAGUGUAUUGUUAGAGAAAAAUCACCUAAAGAGCCAAGAAAGUGGAGUAGACUAUGGGAUUGUGAAAAUCUCUACAAAGUUAUGUCGGACAAUAUGGAAGCAAAACAUUUGAAAGCCAUAGUUGUUGAAGAUAAAACACGGAUGUCUUUUUGAAACAACAAUGAGAGUUGAUGCUCUAUCAAAAUUGAAUCACCUAGAGUUUCUCUCACUUCAGAAUGUGAAUUGUUCGAAGUCUCAAAUAUCUUUCCGGAGAAUUAGGAUAUUUUAUUUGGCAUAAAUAUCCUUUUGUGUGUUUGCCCCCAAGUUUUCAGCCGGUGAACCUUGUUGAGUUGAUCCUACCUAAAAGCAACAUAAAAAUACUAUGGGAAGGUAAAAAGUGUCUGCCCUGUCUGAGACGUGUUGAUCUCUCUUACUCCAAAAAUCUAAUCAAGAUGCCAAAUUUUGGAGAGGCCCUAAACCUUGAACGGCUAAAUCUUGAAGGAUGUAUACAACUCAAACAUAUUGGCUCAUCCAUUAGUCAUCUAAGAAAGCUCACUUCUGUGAUUCUGGAAAAUUGCAAGGGACUUGUCAAGUUACCAAAUUUUGGAGAGGGCCACAUUCUUCAAUGCCUAAAUCUUGGGGGAUGCAUACAACUGAGCCACAUCAAUCCAUCGAUUGGUCUUCUAAAAAAGCUUACUUUUUUGAAUUUGAAAGACUGCAAAAGUCUUGUAAGCUUACCGAACUACAUAUUGAGCCUCAGUUCUCUCGAAUGUCUGAAUCUCUCCGGCUGUUCAAAAUUGAAUAAUAUUGGACCUUUACAUUCUAUUCAUUGCUGGUUUCCUCCCUGUAUGCGUCAAUGUGAUAUAAGUUUCUGCAAUUUACUUCAAAUCCAUGAUGCUAUUGGAGACUUACCUUGCUUAGAAACCUUAAAUGUAAGUGGAAACAAUUUUGCUACCCUUCCCAACCUCAAGGAGCUUCGCAGACUGUUCCAUUUAAACUUACAGCACUGCAAGAAGUUGAAAGAUUUGCCUGAGCUCCCUUUACGAGUUGACCUGCUGUCAAAAGCUUACAUGCCACCAUGGCCAGUUAUAGAACCUCUACCUUGGGGAAGAGUAGCAGGAUUAUAUAUUUUCAACUGCCCAAAAUUAGUUGAGAGGGAACACUGUGCCAGAAAGACUAUUUCAUGGAUGAUAAAAGUUAUUCAGGAAUGCCACCAAUACAAACUACUUGAGUUCCAUCUGGUGGUUCCAAGAAUUGAAGUUAUUAUUCCUGGAAGUGAAAUACCAAGUUGGUUCAACAACCGGCAUGAGGGCAGUUUAAUAAGCAUAGACCCAUCUUCCAUUGUGCAGCGUGACAAUAAUUGCAUUGGAGUUGUCUGUUGUGCAGUAUUCUCUGCUGGUCACCAAAGGAGAAAUUUUUCAGUGAUGAGUCCUCCAAAAACAAAUGGAGUUUUCCCUGCUAAUGUUCCAGUAGUUCUUGAGGGGGACUUAAUCACGGACAAUUUAGAUCAUCUGGGGCUAUUCUUUUUCACUCUGGCACAAUUCUUUAAAACAUGUUCCUGGAACACACCUAACCCUGGUGACGUGAAAUGGGAAUUUGAAAUAAGGGACCAGAAAGGUUUUGAUGUUAAGGUGAAGAACUGCGGGUAUCGUUGGAUCAAGUUCACCUGGACUUUUGGGGUAAAUAGUCCAAUCAUCUCUUUACAAGGAAUAAUCUUCAUCCAUCCUUUCUUCAUGUAUUUCUCUCUAAGGAAAAGAGAAGCUAGAGCUUGAAUCAUUUUGGGUUUUGAAGAGUAAAGAUAGGUGGGAAAAGGUGAGGAUUUUCCUAAUCCUAUAAUUUUCAAUUUGCAUGCAAAUUUGAUUCUUAGAGCACUAUGUCUCUCUUUGUCUAAUUGGAUGCCUUGUUAGUCUAAUACAUAUUUAGAACCUGUUUUUGAUGUGUAUUGAGCCCUAUGCCCCAAAUUUGUUCUGUAAAUAUGGAUUUAAGAACAGCCAUGGUAAUUGCCUUGGUGUUAAAAUAAAGUUUUCCAAGGACUAGUGUCUUAAAGCUUAUUAAAAUUCAUAUCAUUUAUUUUCUUGAAUUUCUUGUUGGUGAAUUUAUAAAAUUAGGAGAUUUUCAUGCAGGGAUUUCCCAUAUGUCUAAUGCAUGAUAUAUGAUUUUAAGUGAGGAUAUUAUUGGUUCUCUAAGUCCCAAGUAGAAUAGGAGCCUUGCAAGAUUGACCAGCCAAGUAUUGAGAAGCCUUUAGGAAGAUGCAUCAGAGUGGUAUAGGUCAACAUCAAAAUUGUAGAUGAUAGUGAUUGUUAGCAAUAUGUCCAAAACCUAUACAAGCAGGGCCAAGAGGAAUGUGGCAUGACCUUAGUACCUAAAAGACUAUGAGGCUUGAAGGAAUUGGCUUUAUUUUAUCUUUCUUCUUUCUUCUUAAUAUCUAUAUGGCUAUGUUUUCCUUGUUCACAAUGAAAUGGAGUUGCUUUUAAUGCCUAGGAAUUCUGGGGAUCUUCCUUUAGUUCAAUGGCCACUUUUUCUACUUGCAAGCAAGCUCGCUGCUAGUGUACGUACGUACGAGUUCUCUACACAUAGGAAAGUCAUUAUCUGGAAACCCUAGCCUUGAACGCUGCCGCAAGCUUGGUCGUCACCUCCUUCACUCUACCGUGAGGUUCAAAUUGUGGCGCAAGCUCCAUCGCUGUUUGCUAUUGUCAUUGUCUAUUUGAUUCGAUCUCGACAACCAGUUGCCUCUGACCAUUGUGUUGAAAUUGAGUUCUAAUUUAUUGGUGGGUGAAAUACCUUUUGGACUUGGUCAAAAAUCCUUGAUACACCUCUGUGAGAAAUAUGACAUUAGUAAGGAGAAAUUGGUCCAGUUUUGUCAAAACCACAGAGACCCCUCGUAGGAGAUGUGCGGAAAAAGGCACAGGCCAUCCAGAAGCAAAACAUUGUCCCCACGUAUUGUCUCGUGAGGGUUAUGAAUAUUUAAAACAAAAGCUCAUGGCUGAGAAGACAAAGAAAAGACUGGAGGAAGCUACCCAAUCCGGAAGCACUAAGGGCAUCAUUGACCCUCCAUCUUCCAUCAGACGCUACGUGAAGUGGAAGAUGGCCCGCUUCAAGAAAACUGGGCAGAUGACGUCUGAGGCAGCAAAGGAAAUAACUGAGAAGAUUGUAAGUCAUUUUCAAUUAAGAAUUGUAAUUAUCUUUGUGUAUUCUAUGAAUGCCUUGGACAAAUAUAUGUGUUCUGUACAAGAUUCUUUGGAGGAGCAGGCAUCACAGGGAUCGUUCGUCGCCCAUGGACGUCAAGAUGUCCUGAUUGCUGCCAUUGGGCGACCAGAGCACCCUGGCCAUGUCCGUGUUGCUGGAGUCGGUGUCACCAUAAAGCAAUACUUUUGAUCGGCUCUAUGAACGUCCCGUAGUUCUUCCUCUAUUCCUCCUAAAGACCUACAACAGUUGAUCCAACAGAUCAGGGAUCAGCUUGAGGAGUCAAUCAUAGAAAAAGUGAUUCGGCAGGUGAUGGCAUCCUUUAGCCGGAUACAGUCCCAAUUUCAGUCUCAGAUGCAUUCACAGGGACUUGCACUGCCUCCAGAGCUAGAGGUUGGUCCCUCAGGGAACAAUCCAGAGACGGGUGACUUAGACAAAUGCGGGUUGUACAUUGAAAAAAAUUCUUCCCGCCUAGUUGCCCUAGGAAAACUUUAUGAGGGAUCCACAGCAAUUUCAUAAUAUCCCUUUGUUGCAUGGCCAAAUGAAGGUUGGUGUU